ACUUAAAUUGAAGAGUUUGAUCAUGGCUCAGAUUGAACGCUGGCGGCAGGCCUAACACAUGCAAGUCGAACGGUAGCACAGAGAGCUUGCUCUCGGGUGACGAGUGGCGGACGGGUGAGUAAUGUCUGGGAAACUGCCCGAUGGAGGGGGAUAACUACUGGAAACGGUAGCUAAUACCGCAUAACGUCGCAAGACCAAAGUGGGGGACCUUCGGGCCUCACACCAUCGGAUGUGCCCAGAUGGGAUUAGCUAGUAGGUGGGGUAACGGCUCACCUAGGCGACGAUCCCUAGCUGGUCUGAGAGGAUGACCAGCCACACUGGAACUGAGACACGGUCCAGACUCCUACGGGAGGCAGCAGUGGGGAAUAUUGCACAAUGGGCGCAAGCCUGAUGCAGCCAUGCCGCGUGUAUGAAGAAGGCCUUCGGGUUGUAAAGUACUUUCAGCGGGGAGGAAGGUGUUGUGGUUAAUAACCGCAGCAAUUGACGUUACCCGCAGAAGAAGCACCGGCUAACUCCGUGCCAGCAGCCGCGGUAAUACGGAGGGUGCAAGCGUUAAUCGGAAUUACUGGGCGUAAAGCGCACGCAGGCGGUCUGUCAAGUCGGAUGUGAAAUCCCCGGGCUCAACCUGGGAACUGCAUUUGAAACUGGCAAGCUUGAGUCUCGUAGAGGGGGGUAGAAUUCC
rnacentral:rRNA from 1 species